GCCUGGAUGGCUCAGUUGGUUAAGUGUCUGACUCUUGAUUUCAACUUGGGUCGUAGUCCCAGUGUCGUGGGAUCGAGUCCCACUUCAGGUU
rnacentral:tRNA from 1 species